rnacentral:tRNA from 1 species
GCUGAUAUAGCUCAGCAGGAAGAGCGCGCCCUUGGUAAGGGUGAGGUCCCCAGUUCAAGUCUGGGUAUCAGCA